UAACAAUGUUGAAUAUUGCAAUCAUUCUCUACCAUAUCCAUGAGUAUGCACAUUCAUUAUCUGUUCUCAAAAAAUUGUUCCAGAAUAUCGAGCCAAUUAAAGAGCAAAUAGCUCUCCGUGAUGCCUUCUGCUAAGGUCAACUGCAUCUCGUCAAUUUGUAGACGUGUAUCUCAUCUUCUAUGGAUGUAAACACUAAGCAAUGUGAUGUUUCUUUUCUGUUUAACAUGAAAUCUAAUAAGUUGUAUGUAUCUUUUUUUUUAAUAUUUUCUAGACAUAAAGGAAAAAUUAUGGAAGCAGUUCC